rnacentral:rRNA from 1 species
CUACGGGCGGCAGCAGUGGGGAAUAUUGCACAAUGGGCGCAAGCCUGAUGCAGCCGUGCCGCGUGUAUGAAGAAGGCCUUCGGGUUGUAAAGUACUUUCAGCGGGGAGGAAGGGAGUAAAGUUAAUACCUUUGCUCAUUGACGUUACCCGCAGAAGAAGCACCGGCGUAACUCCGUGCCAGCAGCCGCGGUAAUACGGAGGGUGCAAGCGUUAAUCGGAAUUACUGGGCGUAAAGCGCACGCAGGCGGUUUGUUAAGUCAGAUGUGAAAUCCCCGGGCUCAACCUGGGAACUGCAUCUGAUACUGGCAAGCUCGAGUCUCGUAGAGGGGGGUAGAAUUCCAGGUGUAGCGGUGAAAUGCGUAGAGAUCUGGAGGAAUACCGGUGGCGAAGGCGGCCCCCUGGACGAAGACUGACGCUCAGGUGCGAAAGCGUGGGGAGCAAACAGGAUUAGAUACCCUAGUAGUC